GACAGAGGCCUCGAGCGUUAGGCGGAAUCACUGGGCUUAAAGCGUGUGUAGGCGGAUCGUUAAGUGCCUUGUGAAAUCCCACGGCUUAACUGUGGAACGGCUGGGCAUACUGGCGGUCUUGAGCCAUCUAGGGGCGACUGGAACAAACGGUGGAGCGGUGAAAUGCGUAGAUAUCGUUUGGAACGCCAAUGGUGAAAACAGGUCGCUGGGGAUGAGCUGACGCGUGAGACACGAAAGCCCAGGGGAGCGAACGGG
rnacentral:rRNA from 1 species